rnacentral:rRNA from 1 species
UACGGAGGAUGCGAGUGUUAUCCGGAUUUAUUGGGUUUAAAGGGUGCGUAGGCGGGAUGCCAAGUCAGCGGUAAAAAUGCGGUGCUCAACGCCGUCGAGCCGUUGAAACUGGCGUUCUUGCGUGGGCGAGAAGUAUGCGGAAUGCGUGGUGUAGCGGUGAAAUGCAUAGAUAUCACGCAGAACUCCGAUUGCGAAGGCAGCAUACCGGCGUCCUACUGACGCUGAGGCACGAAAGCGUGGGUAUCGAACAGG